rnacentral:misc_RNA from 1 species
UUAAGUUCAGCGGGUAGUCCUACCUGAUUUGAGAUCAAACUUCAAAAAGCUGUCCUCGCUGAGGAGAGACGUUUGUGAGCUCCAGCGAACCUCCAUCGCUGGAGGUUAUCUGGCGGCGAGCCACAAGCGUAGAUAGUUAUCACACCUGUGACGCCACCAAACACUGGUAAGCUGAUUCGUUUGAGAGGAGCCGACGGCAC